rnacentral:rRNA from 1 species
ACGGAAUAGUCCCGGGAAACUGGGUUUAAUACCGUAUACGCCCUUCGGGGGAAAGAAUUUCGGUGAGGGAUCGGCCCGCGUUAGAUUAGUUAGUUGGUGGGGUAAUGGCCUACCAAGACUACGAUCUAUAGCUGGUUUGAGAGGAUGAUCAGCAACACUGGGACUGAGACACGGCCCAGACUCCUACGGGAGGCAGCAGUGGGGAAUCUUAGACAAUGGGGGCAACCCUGAUCUAGCGAUGCCGCGUGAGUGAUGAAGGCCUUAGGGUCGUAAAGCUCUUUCGCCUGUGAUGAUAAUGACAGUAGCAGGUAAAGAAACCCCGGCUAACUCCGUGCCAGCAGCCGCGGUAAUACGGAGGGGGUUAGCGUUGUUCGGAAUUACUGGGCGUAAAGCGCACGUAGGCGGAUUAGUCAGUCAGAGGUGAAAUCCCAGGGCUCAACCCUGGAACUGCCUUUGAUACUGCUAGUCUUGAGUUCGAGAGAGGUAAGUGGAAUUCCGAGUGUAGAGGUGAAAUU